rnacentral:rRNA from 1 species
GAUGAACGCUGGCGGCGUGCCUAAUACAUGCAAGUCGAGCGAACAGACGAGGAGCUUGCUCCUCUGACGUUAGCGGCGGACGGGUGAGUAACACGUGGAUAACCUACCUAUAAGACUGGGAUAACUUCGGGAAACCGGAGCUAAUACCGGAUAAUAUAUUGAACCGCAUGGUUCAAUAGUGAAAGACGGUUUUGCUGUCACUUAUAGAUGGAUCCGCGCCGCAUUAGCUAGUUGGUAAGGUAACGGCUUACCAAGGCAACGAUGCGUAGCCGACCUGAGAGGGUGAUCGGCCACACUGGAACUGAGACACGGUCCAGACUCCUACGGGAGGCAGCAGUAGGGAAUCUUCCGCAAUGGGCGGAAGCCUGACGGAGCAACGCCGCGUGAGUGAUGAAGGUCUUCGGAUCGUAAAACUCUGUUAUUAGGGAAGAACAAAUGUGUAAGUAACUAUGCACGUCUUGACGGUAGCUAAUCAGAAAGCCACGGCUAACUACGUG